rnacentral:tRNA from 1 species
CGCCCCAUGGUGGAAAUGGUAGACACACUGGACUCAAAAUCCAGCGCCGAAAGGUAUGCCAAUUCGAGUUUGGCUGGGGCGA